rnacentral:rRNA from 1 species
GUUUGCAGUCAUAUCACCCUGAAGGCGCCUGAUCUCAUAUGACCUUAAAAGCUAAACAGAGCUGGGCCUGAUCUCCCAUUCAUGGGAGACCACUUUGGAAUACUGGGUGUGUAGGCA